UGCUAGACCAAGUCUGUUGGUGCCCUUAGGGGCUUGAAAGGGAAGCCGGUGAGAAUCCGGCGCGGGCCCGCCGCUGUAACCGGGAACGAAAACCGCGGGCGUCCAUUGGGGACGCCAGCCACUGCGCCAAGGCGCGGGAAGGCGCGGCAAGUAGGUCGAUCCGGGAGCCAGAAGACCUGCCAACCAAACAUAUUUUGG
rnacentral:ncRNA from 2 species